rfam:Schistosoma margrebowiei strain Zambia genome assembly, scaffold: SMRZ_contig0007245
AUCGAGCUGAUGGGUCCCAAGUAGGACGAAACGCGCGUCGCGGAU